GACGAACGCUGGCGGCGUGCCUAACACAUGCAAGUCGAACGGAAAGGCGCUGCUCUUGUGGGGUGGUCGAGUGGCGAACGGGUGAGAAACACGCGAGUAACCUGCCCUUGACUUAGGGGUAACAUUAGGAAAAAGCGGCUAAUACCGGAUAGAAGCUCUUGCUGCGUGGGGGUGGUUGGUAAAUUUCGGCGGUGGGGGAUGGACUAGCGGGUUAUCGGCUGGUUGGUGGGGUAGGGGCUUACCAGGGCUUCGAAGGGUAGCCGGCAUGGGAGGGUGACCGGCCACCUGGGGACUGAGAGAGGGCCCAGAAUCCUACGGGAGGCAGCGGUGGGGAGUCUUACGCAGUAGGGGGAAGCCAGAUGCAGCAACGCCGCGUGCGGGAUGACGUCCUUCGGGUUAUAAACCGCUUUCUACUGUGACGAAGCGUGAGUGACGGUAAUGGGUAAAGAAGCACCGGCUAACUACGUG
rnacentral:rRNA from 1 species